rnacentral:rRNA from 1 species
GGCGAGUGAAGAGGGAAAAGCCCAAAUUUGUAAUCUGGCUCUUUUAUGAGGGUCCGAGUUGUAAUUUUGAGAACUGUUUUCUGUGCUGGACCAUUUCUAAGUCUGUUGGAAAAUAGCAUCAUAGAGGGUGAUAAUCCCGUAUGUGAUAUGGACUACCAGGGCUAUAUGAUACAGUUUCUAAGAGUCGAGUUGUUUGGGAAUGCAGCUCAAAGUGGGUGGUAAAUUCCAUCUAAGGCUAAAUAUAGGUGAGAGACCGAUAGCAUACAAGUACCGUGAGGGAAAGAUGAAAAGAACUUUGGAAAGAGAGUUAACAGUACGUGAAAUUGUUGUAAGGGAAACACUUAAACUUAUCGUUGUGCUUGUCAGUUCAGCCCUCUUAUCAGGGUGUAUUCUGACAAAACACGGACCAACAUCAGUNUUUGAGUGCUGGAUAAGGGUCUUGGGAAUGUAGCAGUNUAGGCUGUGUUAUAGCCCAGGAUUUAGAUACAGUGCUUAGGACUGAGAGAUAUUUGCAGCAAGC